AACGCAAAAACACAGUCCGGGUGCAACGCCAAAGCAUUCUUCUGAGGUUGAACCCUUUAUUGGCGUUCUUGACCCAUGACCAUGAGAAUAUUGUUGUACUUUUAGUUUUUCUGCCUGGACUGGAGAACAAAUAGUUGAUCUUGGGUGCAGUAAACCAUGCUAGGGCCUCUGUGUCCUUCAAGGUGUGGCCUUCGUGUCCCCGUAUGGGGUUUAGUGCAAUGAUCAGCAAAACAUUU
rnacentral:snoRNA from 1 species